CUCAUCAAUUCGCUUUACAGUAACAAAGAUAUCUUCCUUAGGGAGCUUAUUUCAAAUGCUUCUGAUGCAUUGGACAACAUUAGGUUCCUUUCUCUAACUGUUAAAGAGAUUUUGGGUGAAGGUGACAGCGCCAAGCUUGAAAUCCAGGUUAGUUUAGCUAAAUAUUUAUUUAUAAGCUUCUAUCUAUUUUAGUAAUUAUUUCUCUAUAGUUUAUUUCUUUGUAAAUUAUGACGGCGAUUUGUGAAAUAUGUUUUAGUGCUGUUUUUGUAGUUUAUUUAGUGAAACUAAAUUCUAUUAUGUACUGCAACAGAUUAAGUUAGAUAAGGAAAAGAAAAUUCUAUCUAUUAGAGACAGAGGUAUUGGUAUGACAAAGGAGGAUUUGAUAAAGAAUUUGGGGACCAUAGCUAAAUCUGGAACUUCUG